rnacentral:rRNA from 1 species
UGCGUAGGCGGAAAAUUAAGUCAGUGGUGAAAUCCUGCAGCUCAACUGUAGAAUUGCCUUUGAUACUGGUUAUCUUGAGUCAUUAUGAAGUGGUUAGAAUGUGUAGUGUAGCGGUGAAAUGCAUAGAUAUUACACAGAAUACCGAUUGCGAAGGCAGAUCACUAAUAAUGUACUGACACUGAGGGACGAAAGCGUGGGGAGCGAACAGGAUUAGAUACCCUGGUAGUCC